UUUGUUUAUUGAAAAAUAACUCACCCACUUUGAUUCGGGAGCUCGGGGUAAGGGUUAUUUCUUCAAUGUGUUUAGGUACAACAACUAUUAUUAUAGAGGACGAAGCUAUCCCAACUCCACUUCAUGUCCAUGGAGCACUGCAGGAGUUUUGGUUGUGGCUGAGGACGUGCGGGAAGGAAGAAAGUGGUGUCAUCGUGAGGAGGAGGAGGCCUACAAAAGAAGACGUAUAUACAAACAGUCAGGUGUCUGGGUCAGUGAUCUUGAGGGUGUGGGCCACGUUCCACGACACGUGAAUCAUAGGGACGAUGGACUUGACCUUCUUGACUACGUUCCACUCAAACCUUUCCAGGGCCAGCUGGUACUGCAGGUGGUGCACUCCUUACCAUUGAGCGGGCCUACAUUCCAGGCAAUGUUGUUGCACCAACCCACAGCCUGUACCCAGUGAACAGUCCCUGCAUUGAUCCACACCAAGUCUCCUGGUCUCUGGAUGAAGCGGUACACUGGGAUGU